GGAAUAAGCAUCGGCUAACUCCGUGCCCAAGCAGCCGCGGUAAGACGGAGGAUGCCAAGCGUUAUCCGGAAUUAUUGGGCGUAAAGCGUUCCGCAGGUGGCUUAUUCAAGUCUGCUGUCAAAUUCCAGGGCUCAACCCUGGUUUCGGCAGUGGAAACUGGAUAGCUAGAGUUACGGUAGGGGCAGAGGGAAUUCCUGGUGUAGCGGUGAAAUGCGUAGAUAUCAGGAAGAACACCGGUGGCGAAAGCGCUCUGCUGGGCCGUAACUGACACUCAUGGACGAAAGCUAGGGGAGCGAAAGGGAUUAGAUACCCCUGUAGUCCUAGCUGUAAACGAUGGAUACUAGGUGUUGGACGUAUCGACCCGUUCAGUACCGUAGCUAACGCGUUAAGUAUCCCGCCUGGGGAGUACGCACGCAAGUGUGAAACUCAAAGGAAUUGACGGGGGCCCGCACAAGCGGUGGAGUAUGUGGUUUAAUUCGAUGCAACGCGAAGAACCUUACCAGGGCUUGACAUGUCCAGAAUCCUCGGGAAACCGAGGAGUGCCUUCGGGAGCUGGAACACAGGUGGUGCAUGGCUGUCGUCAGCUCGUGUCGUGAGAUGUUGGGUUAAGUCCCGCAACGAGCGCAACCCUCGUUUUUAGUUGCCAUCAUUCAGUUGGGCACUCUAGAGAGACUGCCGGUGACAAACCGGAGGAAGGUGGGGAUGACGUCAAGUCAGCAUGCCCCUUACGUCCUGGGCUACACACGUACUACAAUGCUUCGGACAAAGGGCAGCCAGACCGCGAGGUUGAGCUAAUCCCAUAAACCGAGGCUCAGUUCAGAUUGCAGGCUGCAACUCGCCUGCAUGAAGGAGGAAUCGCUAGUAAUCGCAGGUCAGCAUACUGCGGUGAAUACGUUCCCGGGCCUUGUACACACCGCCCGUCACACCAUGGAAAGCUGGCCACGCCCGAAGUCGUUACCCCAACCGUUCGCGGAGGGGGAACGCCGAAGGCAGGGCUGGUGACUGGGGUGAAGUCGUUAACAAGGUAGCCGUACCGGAAAGGUGUGGCUGGGAUCACCUCCUUUCAAGGAGACCUACCCUACUUAGAACGUGCGAAAACUGAUAGAGACACCUAAGUAAGG
rnacentral:rRNA from 1 species